UACGGAGGAUGCGAGCGUUAUCCGGAUUUAUUGGGUUUAAAGGGUGCGCAGGCGGAUUUUUAAGUCAGCGGUCAAAUCGUGGGGCUCAACCCCAUCCAGCCGUUGAAACUGGGGAUCUAGAGUGUGCGAGAGGUAUGCGGAAUGCGUGGUGUAGCGGUGAAAUGCAUAGAUAUAACUUAGAACACCGAUAGCGAAGGCAGCUUACCAGACUGAGUCUGACGCUGAUGCACGAGAGCAUGGGUAGCGAACAGG
rnacentral:rRNA from 1 species